GCUGGGAAUGGUGGCACAUCCCUGUAGUUCAAGCUACUGGGGAGGUUGAGGCAGGAGGAUCAUUUGAGCCCAGGGGUUGAGACCAGCCCUGGCAACAUAGUGAGACCCUGUCUUCA
rnacentral:sRNA from 1 species